UACAGAGGGUGCGAGCGUUAAUCGGAAUUACUGGGCGUAAAGCGCGCGUAGGCGGCUUUGCAAGUCGGAUGUGAAAUCUCCAGGCUCAACCUGGAGGGGUCAUUCGAUACUGCCGUGACUAGAGUUCGGUAGGGGAGUGUGGAAUUCCAGGUGUAGUGGUGAAAUACGUAGAUAUCUGGAGGAACACCGGUGGCGAAGGCGGCGACCUGGUCCUAUACUGACACUCAUACACGAAAGCGUGGGGAUCAAACAGG
rnacentral:rRNA from 1 species